rnacentral:rRNA from 1 species
AGAGUUUGAUCCUGGCUCAGAACGAACGCUGGCGGCGUGCUUAAGACAUGCAAGUCGAACGGUAAGGCCCCCUUCGGGGGGUACACGAGUGGCGCACGGGUGAGUAACACGUGGGUAAUCUACCUUCGGGCCUGGGACAACUCCGGGAAACUGGAGCUAAUACCGGAUGAGACCACGAGGUCCUCGGACUUCGCGGAAAAAGAUGGCCUCUCCUUGGAAGCUAUCGCCUGUUGAUGAGCCCGCGCCCCAUUAGCUAGUUGGUGAGGUAACGGCUCACCAAGGCGACGAUGGGUAGCUGGUCUGAGAGGACGACCAGCCACACUGGAACUGAGACACGGUUCAGACUCCUACGGGAGGCAGCAGUCGGGAAUUUUGGGCAAUGGGCGAAAGCCUGACCCAGCAACGCCGCGUGAGGGAUGAAGGCCUUCGGGUCGUAAACCUCUGUCGGAAGGGAAGAACGACCGCAAGGUGAACAAUCUUGGGGUCUGACGGUACCUUCAAAGGAAGCGCCGGCUAACUCCGUGCCAGCAGCCGCGGUAAUACGGAGGGCGCAAGCGUUGUUCGGAAUCAUUGGGCGUAAAGCGCGUGUAGGCGGCUUGGCAAGUCGGGUGUGAAAUCCCGGGGCUCAACCCCGGAACUGCAUUCGAUACUGCCUCGCUAGAGUCCCGGAGAGGAGGGCGGAAUUCCCGGUGUAGAGGUGAAAUUCGUAGAUAUCGGGAGGAACACCAGUGGCGAAGGCGGCCCUCUGGACGGUGACUGACGCUGAGAUGCGAAAGCGUGGGGAGCAAACAGGAUUAGAUACCCUGGUAGUCG